GUGGCGACGGGUGAGUAACACGUGGGCAAUCUGCCCUUCACUCUGGGACAAGCCCUGGAAACGGGGUCUAAUACCGGAUAACACUCCUCCCUGCAUGGGGAGGGGUUAAAAGCUCCGGCGGUGAAGGAUGAGCCCGCGGCCUAUCAGCUUGUUGGUGGGGUAAUGGCCUACCAAGGCGACGACGGGUAGCCGGCCUGAGAGGGCGACCGGCCACACUGGGACUGAGACACGGCCCAGACUCCUACGGGAGGCAGCAGUGGGGAAUAUUGCACAAUGGGCGAAAGCCUGAUGCAGCGACGCCGCGUGAGGGAUGACGGCCUUCGGGUUGUAAACCUCUUUCAGCAGGGAAGAAGCGCAAGUGACGGUACCUGCAGAAGAAGCGCCGGCUAACUACGUGCCAGCAGCCGCGGUAAUACGUAGGGCGCAAGCGUUGUCCGGAAUUAUUGGGCGUAAAGAGCUCGUAGGCGGCUUGUCACGUCGGAUGUGAAAGCCCGGGGCUUAACCCCGGGUCUGCAUUCGAUACGGGCAGGCUAGAGUGUGGUAGGGGAGAUCGGAAUUCCUGGUGUAGCGGUGAAAUGCGCAGAUAUCAGGAGGAACACCGGUGGCGAAGGCGGAUCUCUGGGCCAUUACUGACGCUGAGGAGCGAAAGCGUGGGGAGCGAACAGGAUUAGAUACCCUGGUAGUCCACGCCGUAAACGUUGGGAACUAGGUGUUGGCGACAUUCCACGUCGUCGGUGCCGCAGCUAACGCAUUAAGUUCCCCGCCUGGGGAGUACGGCCGCAAGGCUAAACUCAAGGAAUUGACGGGGGCCCGCACAAGCAGCGAGCAUGUGGCU
rnacentral:rRNA from 1 species